CAGGUACAGGGGAAAGGCUCCUGUGUGGCUGAAGCUGCCCGAGGUGGGUGCAGCCUUGUACCAGACAGCCCGACCUUGACCUAAAGAAAAUCCCCAGGGUGGUGGUGGCGCACGCCUUUAAUCCCAGCACUUGGGAGGCAGAGGCAGGC